GACGAACGCUGGCGGCGUGCUUAACACAUGCAAGUCGAACGGAAAGGCCCCUUUGGGGGUACUCGAGUGGCGAACGGGUGAGUAACACGUGCGUAACCUGCCCUUGACUUCGGGAUAACUUCAGGAAACUGGGGCUAAUACCGGAUAGGAAUCCUUGCUGCAUGGUGGGGGUUGGAAAGCUUCGGCGGUUUUGGAUGGACUCGCGGCUUAUCAGCUUGUUGGUGGGGUAGUGGCUUACCAAGGCUUUGACGGGUAGCCGGCCUGAGAGGGCGACCGGCCACAUUGGGACUGAGAGACGGCCCAGACGCCUACGGGAGGCAGCAGUGGGGAAUAUUGCACAAUGGGCGGAAGCCUGAUGCAGCAACGCCGCGUGCGGGAUGACGGCCUUCGGGUUGUAAACCGCUUUCAGCAGGGGCGAAGCUUGUGGUGACGGUACCUGCAGAAGAAGCACCGGCUAACUACGUG
rnacentral:rRNA from 1 species